UACGUAGGGGGCGAGCGUUGUCCGGAGUUACUGGGCGUAAAGCGCUUGUAGGCGGUCCACCAAGUUUGGGGUGACAGUUGCCGACUUAAUCGGCAAGUGCCUCAAAGACUGGCGGACUUGAGGGCCACAGAGGGACAUGGAACUCCAGGUGUAGUGGUGAAAUGCGUAGAUAUCUGGAAGAACACCAAAGGCGAAGGCAGCCCCCUGGGCCUAACACUGACGCUCAGGCACGAAAGCGUGGGGAGCAAACGAGG
rnacentral:rRNA from 1 species